rnacentral:rRNA from 1 species
CUUGCUUUCUUUGCUGGCGACCGGCGCACGGGUGAGUAACACGUAUCCAACCUGCCCUUUACUCGGGGAUAGCCUUUCGAAAGAAAGAUUAAUACCCGAUAGUAUAAUGAUUCCGCAUGAUUUCAUUAUUAAAGGAUUCCGGUAAAGGAUGGGGAUGCGUUCCAUUAGGUUGUUGGUGGGGUAACGGCCCACCAAGCCUUCGAUGGAUAGGGGUUCUGAGAGGAAGGUCCCCCACAUUGGAACUGAGACACGGUCCAAACUCCUACGGGAGGCAGCAUG